CCUACGGGAGGCAGCAGUAGGGAAUCUUCCACAAUGGGCGAAAGCCUGAUGGAGCAACGCCGCGUGGGUGAAGCAGCGCUUCGGAUCGUAAAACCCUGUUGUUAGAGAAGAAAGUGCGUGAGAGUAACUGUUCACGCUUCGACGGUAUCUAACCAGAAAGCCACGGCUAACUACGUGCCAGCAGCCUCAGUAAUACGUAGGUGGCAAGCGUUAUCCGGAUUUAUUGGGCGUAAAGGGAACGCAGGGGGUCGUGUAAGUCUGAUGUGAAAGCCUUGGGCUUAACCGGAGUAGUUCAGUGGAGACUGGGAGACGUGAGUGCAGAAGAGGUGAGUGGAACUCCAGGUGGAGCGGUGAAAUGCGUAGAUAUAUGGAAGAAAACCAGUGGCGAAAGCGGCUUUCUGGUCUGUAACUGACGGUGAGGUUCGAAAGCGUGGGUAGCAAAAAGGAUUAGAUACCCGUGUAGUU
rnacentral:rRNA from 1 species